CUUGAUUUUGAUUUUCAGUGUGAAUACAAACCAUGAAAGUGUGGCCUAUCGAUCCUUUAGCCGCGUAGAGUCUACGC
rnacentral:ncRNA from 1 species